AGAGUGAACUAGCUAACUGAAAUCAUAGAAUUUUUUAAAAUUCAUGAUGUCGUAAGGGAAAAUAAUGAUAAUACCUUACUAUGAGUGUCGUCCAAAUCUGGUGCCAGAAGACUCGGUAAGACCAGAGACGCAAACGUUAAUCAUCAUAAACAGGCGUAAAGGGUUUGUAGGCAGCUUUCACCAAACUAUGAUUACAAAAUAAAGUAGUUUAAUUGAAAGCUAGAAUCAAAAAGAGGUUAUAGUGUAUAACGCCUAGAGGAGGGCUGAUAUCCAUAGAUCCUAGGCAGAAUACUCAGGGCGAAGGCCACUCUCCACUACUGAUUGACGCUGAGAAACGAAGGUUAGGGUAGGAAAUAGGAUUAGAUACCCCGGUACUCCUUUCUGUAAACGAUGAAUGGUAGUCAUUAGUUUUAUAACUAGAGACGAAGUUAACACAAUAACCAUUCCGCCUUGUGAGUACUACUGCAAAGUAGAAAACAAAAAAAUUAGUCGGUCUCGAAGCAAACGGA
rnacentral:rRNA from 1 species